rnacentral:lncRNA from 1 species
GGCUUCUCAAAAACAGUAUCAAAAUGUUUCUCAAAAAAGGUUAAUCAAAAGGUUUCUCAAAAACAGUUUAUCAAAAGGUUUCUCAAAAAUGGUGUUACAAAAGGUUUAUCAGAGGUUUCUCAAAAAGGGUUUAUCAAAAAUGGUUUAUAAAGGUUCCUCAAAAAUGGUUUAUCAAAAUGUUUCUCAAAAAGGGUUUAAUAAAAUGUUUCUCAAAAAUGGUGUUUCAAAAGGUUUCUCAAUGGAAGCAGUUUCAUAAGAUGGUUUUUCAAUAAAGGCAAUUUCAAUAGGUUUCUGAAAGGCUUUUAUAUAGGUUUCUGAAAGGCUUUUAUAUAGGUUUCUGAAAGGCUUUUAUAUAGGUUUCUGAAAGGCUUUUAUAUAGGUUUCUGAAAGGCUUUUAUAUAGGUUUCUCAAAGGCUUUUAUAUAGGUUUCUCAAAGGCUUUUAUAUAGGUUUCUGAAGGCUUGUCAAUCAGAUAGAGCGGUAGAGAAGACAGGAAAGUCAGAGCAGCCAAAAUGUAGCUAGAGGGAUAGAGAAAAGGGGGCAGAAGACAGAGUGGCUUUUCAAUUAGAUAGAGCGGUAGAGGAGACAGGAAAGUCAGAGCGUCCAAAAUUUAGCUAGAGGGAUAGAGAAAAGGGGGACACAAGACAGAGUGGCUUUUCAAUUAGACAGAGUGGUAGAGAAGACAGGAAAGUCAGAGCGGCCAAAAUGAUAGGGGAGAGCUGGGAGACUGGACAGGAUAC